rnacentral:rRNA from 1 species
GACGAACCGUGCGAACGUUAUUCGGAAUCACUGGGCUUAAAGCGCGUGUAGGCGGGUCGGAACGUCGGUCGCUGAAAUCCCCCGGCUUAACCGGGGAACGGGCGCCGAAACGACCGACCUGGAGGGACGUAGGGGGAGCUGGAACUUCCGGUGGAGCGGUGAAAUGCGUUGAGAUCGGAAGGAACGCCCGUGGCGAAAGCGAGCUCCUGGACGUUUUCUGACGCUGAGACGCGAAAGCCAGGGGAGCGAACGG